CCGAACCGACUAAUGUUGAAAAAUUAGCGGAUGACCUGUGGCUGGGGGUGAAAGGCCAAUCAAACCGGGAGAUAGCUGGUUCUCCCCGAAAGCUAUUUAGGUAGCGCCUCGUGAAUUCAUCUCCGGGGGUAGAGCACUGUUUCGGCUAGGGGGCCAUCCCGGCUUACCAACCCGAUGCAAACUGCGAAUACCGGAGAAUGUUAUCACGGGAGACACACGGCGGGUGCUAACGUCCGUCGUGAAGAGGGAAACAACCCAGACCGCCAGCUAAGGUCCCAAAGUCAUGGUUAAGUGGGAAACGAUGUGGGAAGGCCCAGACAGCCAGGAUGUUGGCUUAGAAGCAGCCAUCAUUUAAAGAAAGCGUAAUAGCUCACUGGUCGAGUCGGCCUGCGCGGAAGAUGUAACGGGGCUAAACCAUGCACCGAAGCUGCGGCAGCGACACUGUGUGUUGUUGGGUAGGGGAGCGUUCUGUAAGCCUGUGAAGGUGUGUCGUGAGGC
rnacentral:rRNA from 4 species